CAAGAAUGGACAGAACAUUCAGGGACAAACAUCUGAUUCUUAUUCAGCCUCCUUGGAUCCUGCAGACAGCUUUUCCUGUGCUGUAAGAGGACAUGAGGACUUCCCCUCUCCUUCAGUGUUGAUACAGGGUCAGAAUGGCUUGAGAGUGACUUACACCUCUACUCAGAUCUGUGCUGUUAAAGGAUCAACAGUGAACAUACCCUGCAGAUACACAUACCCAUCAGCUGUAGGUGGAGUUGAUACUACAGUUGAGCAGAGAGUCUGGUUAAAUCAACAGUUUGUGGAUCUGACAACAGUCUCAGAGUAUUCAGGUCGUGUGCAGUAUCACUCUGAAAACAAGGACUGUACUCUGAGAAUCUCAGACCUGAGAGAGAGAGACUCAGCUGUGUACAAGUUCAGGUUCACAACAAACCAAGGUGGGAACUAUGUUGGUUAUCCUGGAGUCACUCUGUCUGUCACAGGUCUCCAGGUGCAGGUGAGCAGAUUAGAGGUCUACGAGUCUUAUAUCUGGGUACAGCUCAAGUGUCAGAGCAGUUGUCCUCUACCUGGUCAUCCUUCCUACAUCUGGUACAAGAAUGGACAGAACAUUCAGGGACAAA